GCUGCAGAAGAAGCACCGGCUAACUCCGUGCCAGCAGCCGCGGUAAUACGGAGGGUGCGAGCGUUAAUCGGAAUUACUGGGCGUAAAGCGCAUGCAGGUGGUUUGUUAAGUCAGAUGUGAAAGCCCCGGGGCUCAACCUCGGAAUUGCAUUUUGAAACUGGCAAACUAGAGUACUGUAGAGGGGGUAGGAAUUUCAGGUGUAGCGGUGAAAUGCGUAGAGAUCUGAAGGAAUACCGGUGGCGAAGGCGGCCCCCCUGGACAGAUACUGACACUCAGAUGCGAAAGCGUGGGGAGCAAACAGGAUUAGAUACCCUCGGUAG
rnacentral:rRNA from 1 species